rnacentral:rRNA from 1 species
GAUGAACGCUGGCGGCGUGCCUAAUACAUGCAAGUCGAGCGAACGGACGAGAAGCUUGCUUCUCUGAUGUUAGCGGCGGACGGGUGAGUAACACGUGGAUAACCUACCUAUAAGACUGGGAUAACUUCGGGAAACCGGAGCUAAUACCGGAUAAUAUUUUGAACCGCAUGGUUCAAAAGUGAAAGACGGUCUUGCUGUCACUUAUAGAUGGAUCCGCGCUGCAUUAGCUAGUUGGUAAGGUAACGGCUUACCAAGGCAACGAUGCAUAGCCGACCUGAGAGGGGGAUCGGCCACACGGAAACUGAGACACGGUCCAGACUCCUACGGGAGGCAGCAGUAGGGAACUUUCCGCAAGGGGCGAAGGCCUGACGGAGCAACGCCGGGUGAGUGAUGAAGGUCUUCGGAUCGUAAAACGCUUUUAUUAGGGAAGAACAUAUGUGUAAGUAACUGUGCACAUCUGGACGGUACCUAAGCAGAAAGCCACGGCUAACUACGU